UCCAAUGUGGUGUAGUGGCUAACAUUGCUGUCUUUCACAAGUCAUAUUCUUGGGUAUUAGUUGCACAGUAGCCCGGGGUUCGAUUCCCCGCAUUGGAA